rnacentral:rRNA from 1 species
GACGAACGCUGGCGGCGUGCUUAACACAUGCAAGUCGAACGGAAAGGCCCUGCUUUUGUGGGGUGCUCGAGUGGCGAACGGGUGAGUAACACGUGAGUAACCUGCCCUUGACUUUGGGAUAACUUCAGGAAACUGGGGCUAAUACCGGAUAGGAGCUCCUGCUGCAUGGUGGGGGUAGGAAAGUUUCGGCGGUUGGGGAUGGACUCGCGGCUUAUCAGCUUGUUGGUGGGGUAGUGGCUUACCAAGGCUUUGACGGGUAGCCGGCCUGAGAGGGUGACCGGCCACAUUGGGACUGAGAUACGGCCCAGACUCCUACGGGAGGCAGCAGUGGGGAAUAUUGCACAAUGGGCGGAAGCCUGAUGCAGCAACGCCGCGUGCGGGAUGACGGCCUUCGGGUUGUAAACCGCGUUCGCCUGUGACGAAGCGUGAGUGAAGGUAAUGGGUAAAGAAGCACCGGCUAACUACGUG